GGGAGGAAAGUAGGGGAUCGAAAGACCUUAUCUUUUGGAGCGGCCGAUGUCUGAUUAGCUAGUUGGUAAGGUAAUGGCUUACCAAGGCAACGAUCAGUAGUUGGUCUGAGAGGACGACCAGCCACACUGGGACUGAGACACGGCCCAGACUCCUACGGGAGGCAGCAGUGGGGAAUUUUGGACAAUGGGCGCAAGCCUGAUCCAGCAAUGCCGCGUGAGUGAAGAAGGCCUUCGGGUUGUAAAGCUCUUUCAGUUGAGAAGAAAAGAUUGUGACUAAUAAUUGCAAUUCAUGACGGUAUCAACAGAAGAAGCACCGGCUAACUACGUGCCAGCAGCCGCGGUAAUACGUAGGGUGCGAGCGUUAAUCGGAAUUACUGGGCGUAAAGGGUGCGCAGGCGGUUCUGUAAGUCAGAUGUGAAAUCCCCGGGCUUAACC
rnacentral:rRNA from 1 species